AUUGUAAUAUUAAAUACGUAGCAGCUUGCAGCAAGCAAUCCGUGUCAAAUUUUCGUAGAAAAUCAAAUUUUUUGUAAAAAUGCCGAAACAACGAGACACAAUCAGUCUGAGAAAGGAAGUCUUUAAGGAUUCCUUAAUGGAGUACUUUCAGUUGGAGAAAGCCAAAAUUUAUGACGAAAUUAGGACUUACAAUGGCCAUCUCCGUCUCAGAGACAGCAAGUCCAUUCAAGAAAUAAUUCGAUUAACUAAAACAUUUGAGGUUGUUGCCGCUUCAAUGGAAGAAAGAAUUAAAACGAUGGUCCGAAGUCCUCUCACGUACGACCUGAUAAAACAAUGGAUUGCACAUUUUCUGGCUGCACUAAUAAACAUUUCGAAUGAAAUCAUAGAUGUGACAACAAGAGGCAUUGCGACGUCAUCUACGUCAUCUGAAACGUCUACAACAUCGGACAUGUCUACCGAGGAGGAUGGUUAAAUUCCAGUGAAGAAUGAUUUUCUUAUUUGGGAAAUUGUAUUAAUUCAAAAUUAUAUGUCGUUAGCAGCUCGUCA